rnacentral:lncRNA from 1 species
GGGAGGAGACGCGGCGGGGCUGGGAACUCAUCGCUUCCACCUUCUUGUGCUUUCAUUUUAUUUCAUUUUGUUUUUUAAAAGCAUGAAGCAAGUGAAGCGACGAGAGGAAUCCAUUAUGCAAAUCAGGUCACAUUUGCAUAAUGUCUCAUGACUGGAAUAUGCAAAUGAGUUGUAUAAUUUAUGAGUGCCAGUGUCUGUCUAAAAGUGUUUCCCAGAAUUUAUAAAAAGUGAGACGUGGGGAGGGCAGCUGGGCUCGCUGCCCUGCCAGGAGGGCUCUGCGCUUUCUUUUCAAAGUCUUCCUUCAGACCAGCAGCUGAAAUGCUCCUUAAUGAGAAGCCAGCCACCCCUUCCACACUGUCCCCCUCGUUUUCUUUUCUAUUUCUCACUCUGCCAAGCCUGGACCUGCUCGCUCUGAACUUCUUCAGGAGGCGAUGGACCUGCACGCUGGACCAGGACUCUAAAGCCAUGCACCUCUGGGCAGUCUGCUCCAUCCCUGCAUCCGUCUGGGCACUCUGGCACUUCCCGGCAGGGAGGCUGUGCCUUUCAGGCGUGCUGGCUCCAUGGGCAUGGUGUGCAAGGAAUGGGUGUAGGUGUUUGCUUCCCACAGCAUGGUGGAACUGCUGCUCAUUCAGAACACACCGCAACCUGUGCCUAGAGACCCACCUUGACCCUACAAAGAGCAGCAAGGUCUGCGCAGGGCUGGCAGUGCCCCUGAAGAGCAACCUUGAGCUUCCUGCCCUGAGCAGACAGGAGCUAUUUCAGCACUGAAAAGGUCUCUGGAACAUGCUGGAAAUGCAGGACAAGAGCCAAGAUCGAUCUAGUUUAUGUUCACUCUGCAUAUUUGGAGAUCUCAGGAGCAUCAGGAGAACACAGAAACAGGUGGAGGAUGUGAAAGGUUACAGACAAAGACAAUGAUGCUGGAAAAAAAAAGAGCACACCAUAAAAAAGAAUUCCCACUGGAUGCUCAAGAGCAGAGGAUCUAUCAACUGCAGACCAAGCAGAGGCAGAGGCAGGCAGAACCGGAGCAAUAAUGCAGCCAGAUCCAGCAGCUCAGCCAGGAGCUGGAGGCCACCGUCAGCUGCAGGAGGAGGCUCGGACACAGUGUGGCUGAGGAAAAUCACAACACCAGCUGCAUGUAAGAAACUCCUGGAAAGAAGAACAAAGCCAUCUGUUCUCCAUGUCCACGAAGGCAUGCACAAGAACUAAUGGGUGUACCCUACAUCAAGAAAGAUUCAGGUUAGGAACAGCGUCUAAUGGAGAGGAGAACAAAGCAGGUGAACAGACUGCAAGGGGCCUGAGUGUUCUGCGUCACAGGAGAUCUUCAAGGACAGAUAAACAGAAGACAAGGCACCUGUAGGUUCCCCCGUCAUAGAACUGGAAGACAGGCCAUCAGCCUCUUGAGAUUCAUGCCAGCCUUGCUCACUUCCUAAACCCAGCUUUGUUUGUACCCAGAAACUCAUUUGUCUUCUUCAAAGCCCCACCACAGGGUCUCCUUUAGCAUUCAUAUGUUACCAACAUAUCACUUGCCAGGGUGAUUCUUCUCUCUAGAAAAGUGACUGCACGCUUGCUUCCUACCAUGGUUCACCUAACCUCCAAUGAGACUCAGUACCUGCUUUGUGUUGUAAAUGGUGUCCCAUCUUGAAAUGCACUGCCUGUGUUCCUGCACUGGAUAGUAGUGUUGAUCUGUGGGAGUAUUCUUUCCUCUUUCUUGGAACCUCAUUCUUAUGCUUCUGCAGGCUUGUUCACAGGAGACUGGCUGAAGAGCACACUCAUUGCUGUUUUCCCAGGCAGAUGUCCUGAAGCACCAUGGCAGCAUCAGAGCAGGUGCUAUGUGAGAAGGCAUGUUGUGAAUGAAGCUACAAGAACGUGCACUUACAUUUACACCGGGUUUAUUUACAAGCACACCUCACCUGGGACAGUGACAUCUGAAGGGCUAGCCUGCUCCAUCCCCAUGGUCCCAGCAGGCAGCAUGUCUCUACACCAGAGCAGAAGACAGCAUGGUGCUGUGUUCAGACUGUGCUAAUCCUGCCAUGUGUUUUGAAGAUGAUGUGUUUCCUGUUGCCUUUCACCUUGUGGCUGCACAGAUCCCUUCUGCUGGAUGGCAAUCUUAAAGGAUGCUGAUGGGAAAUCCCAGGAAGCUGCUCUCUGAUCUAAGUCACGCUGCUGGCAGAGGGAAGUCUCCAACACAUGCAGGCAUGGCACAGGGUGUUCCCCGCCGCUUGGCACAUACUGCAGUCGAUAGCCCUCAGCAGGAUCUUGCAUUCAAUAUUAUGCUGUCUAAGAGGCUUAAAAUUGACUGCAAAGCUUCGGUACAACUACAAAAAAAUCUUGUUUUCAGUUUCGCCUCUGGUGGAUUGCUCCAGAAUGAGACAGAGCAACUUGGUAAUUUAUUCUUGGAAUAGGGAUAGUACAUCUGCACUGGAGUAUUUGGAAUUGCAUUAUGUAAUAUGAAAAGCAGUCAUUCAUUUGAACUCCCCUUGUGGGAACAGCAGCUGCCCAGACAAAUUCCAUGUGAAGAUGGGAAAUGUGACAGAAAUCAGACAGAGCCUGCUUCUGUGUGCUGCAGAAACAACUGAGCAGUUUUGCGCCCACUAGGAAUGCCUUGCAUUCUAUCUUGCUCUCCACAGCUUGUUGUAGGUUCUUAUACCAGCUCCUGACAGACCCCCAUUUGCUGCUGCAAAAAACCAUAUAGUUGCUAGUGUCAGACAAAUGCUGCUGUCAGAGCAGAACUUGACAUAACAGCCCAUUUAAGCCACCAGCCCAGGAGCAGGAAUGGCUGUGGAGAGCCACUGCAGCCCUCCUCACCCUUGCUUAAGCAUCCUGCCUUGCUCUGAGCUGCUCCAGCGGGCAGAACUCAGGAGUGUGCUGGCUCUGAUGGUCCUCGCUCAGUGCAGUGUGUGCCACACAACCCCAUUGGCUGUGACAAAACAUGGUGCCUCUGGGUCCCUGCCUUCCCUCCAGGAAGCGCCUGCAGUCCAGCACAGUGUCUCCUGCUUUAUGUUCCCCAGACAAGCUGUUAUCACCGCAGACAGCUCUGCCACUGCUGAGAGUAUCAUUUGAAAGAGGACUAUCAAUGCAGGUGACCUGAAUCCUGAUGUGGCAGUGCAGACGUGGGGUCAGCAGUACACCACUGCAACUCUUUAAUGCUGACUUUUUGGAUACAGGGCAGGAUGUGUCAGGAUCAGUCGUUGCACAUGAUCCUGGAGCACUGAAGAAAAGCAAGAACAACUGUUCGCAAUUAGCUCCAAGUAUGUAUUGCCCACCAUCUUAUCUCUGAUAGUGGUCAAGAGCUAUUAUUGUGGGCAGUGCGAGAAGGGGGCAUAGCUACUGCAGUAGCAGUACCACCCAGAAUACUUGAUGAUAUGAAGCUCAGAGGCCUCGGAAACAAAAAUAGGGUCUUCUAUUUAACCAGUGUGGGUGGAUUUCUUUUUCUCCCACAAUGAUAUUUAACUUCUUUUUGAAUGCACAUAAACCUCAAUGACCCACUGUAUCCUCUGUUAAGCAGUUUGACACUGCAUAGUGCAUAUUAAAAAAAAAACAACUGCUUUUUGUUUUGUAGUCACUACCUCCUAAUUUAUGGGGCACUGAUGGUUCUUAUAUCAAAGGGACAAUGAGAAACCACACUGAAGUCAAACUCUGUCUGCCAAACUUGAUUUCAUAAUCCUGUCACACUUUUCUUCAGCCAUCUCUUCUCUGGGCUAAAGAGACUUUCUACUUUUCCUCAUAUGGAAGAUAUUCUUUGUAUUUGAUUUGCCUUGUUGCUCUUCUCUGAAACCCUCCCAACUCUAUUUUUCUUGAGAGAAGCCAACCAGAGUUCCAUAUGGUAAUCACAAUGCAGUCUCCACUAUGGCUCUGUUCAGUGGCAUAUCUCUGAUCUGUUCUCUCUUAUUUUCCUAAUAAUUCUUAACAGUCAGUUUGCCUUUUGGACUGCUCCUGGG